rnacentral:rRNA from 1 species
GUAGGUGGCAAGCGUUGUCCGGAAUUAUUGGGCGUAAAGCGCGCGCAGGCGGUUCUUUAAGUCUGAUGUGAAAGCCCACGGCUCAACCGUGGAGGGUCAUUGGAAACUGGAGAACUUGAGUACAGAAGAGGAAAGCGGAAUUCCACGUGUAGCGGUGAAAUGCGUAGAGAUGUGGAGGAACACCAGUGGCGAAGGCGGCUUUCUGGUCUGUAACUGACGCUGAGGCGCGAAAGCGUGGGGGAGCAAACAGGAUUAGAUACCCUGGUAGUCCACGCCGUAAACGAUGAGUGCGAAGUGUUAGGGGGUUUCCGCCCCUUAGUGCUGCAGCUAACGCAUUAAGCACUCCGCCUGGGAGUACGGCCGCAAGGCUG